GACGAACGCUGGCGGCGUGCCUAAUACAUGCAAGUAGAACGCUGAAGAGAGGAGCUUGCUCUUCUUGGAUGAGUUGCGAACGGGUGAGUAACGCGUAGGUAACCUGCCUUGUAGCGGGGGAUAACUAUUGGAAACGAUAGCUAAUACCGCAUAACAAUGGAUGACACAUGUCAUUUAUUUGAAAGGGGCAAUUGCUCCACUACAAGAUGGACCUGCGUUGUAUUAGCUAGUAGGUGAGGUAAUGGCUCACCUAGGCGACGAUACAUAGCCGACCUGAGAGGGGGAUCGGCCACACUGGGACUGAGACACGGCCCAGACUCCUACGGGAGGCAGCAGUAGGGAAUCUUCGGCAAUGGGGGCAACCCUGACCGAGCAACGCCGCGUGAGUGAAGAAGGGUUUCGGAUCGUAAAGCUCUGUUGUAAGUCAAGAACGGGUGUGAGAGUGGAAAGUUCACACUGUGACGGUAGCUUACCAGAAAGGGACGGCUAACUACGUG
rnacentral:rRNA from 1 species